rnacentral:siRNA from 1 species
GUUUUAGUCUCCAGAUCUUGUCCC